rnacentral:rRNA from 1 species
GACAGAGGUGCCGAGCGUUAGGCGGAAUCAUUGGGCGUAAAGCGCGUGUAGGCGGCCCGGUAAGUCCGCUGUGAAAGUCGGGGGCUCAACCCUCGAAUGCCGGUGGAUACUGUCGGGCUAGAGUGCGGGAGAGGCGAGUGGAAUUCCUGGUGUAGCGGUGAAAUGCGCAGAUAUCAGGAGGAACACCAAUUGCGAAGGCAGCUCGCUGGAACGUAACUGACGCUGAGGAGCGAAAGCAUGGGGAGCGAACAGG